CUGUUGUAUUUUGUUAACAGUGACAAUGACAAGCACUAACAGGAUGCUCCCGCUGUGAUUGAGAAUGUCAUUCCUGGGAGGAGGUAAUAUUAUCUCCAUUUACGGAUAAGGAAGCUGAGGCUUGAAAGAGACAAAUAAUGUGCCCAAGCUCAUACAGUCUAUAAGUGGGGGCUCUGGGACUCCAGAAAUUGUGUGUUGUGCUUGCCUCUAGAGGACAGGUGACACUGAGAGAGUGCUUCCUUGUGCCAGGCCCCAGGACCUGAGUGGGCCUACAUGCACCAUCUCACGAUGUCUCCACAGCAAUCUCCCCAGUGACCGAUGAGGAAAUGGAGCUCAGAGACAUUACCUUGCCAAAGUAGCCUGAGUCGAAGCUGUUAAAGAGGCCAAGAAUUCCCAAGCUUUCCCAGGCAAACGGGGAAGAACACUGGGAUGCCUUUUCCUCCUCCUCUGUCCAUCUGCAGGCCAAGUGUGCAUCAGUCACAGGCAAACUCUGAAUUGAGCUUUGUGCAAGUCUCUGGAAAGAGACCCAAGAUCGUGUGAUGAGCAAAAGUGACAGUGCUGGAGGCAGCGACAUCUGCAGAGCCAGCCCCAUCCCUAUCUGCAGCAGAAUAUGUAUGGGGAUCCUUUAUGUGAACAAUCCACCCAGGGUAGAAUGGGGCUUUUGACAUCAGCUGAGACCCAGGCGGCCUUACAAUGAGAGGGCUGUUGGUCAAAGGAAGGACUGUUUAAUGAACUGAGAAUCUGAGGCCAGCUCUGGCCAUCUGCACUUGGAAUCAUUAGAGCAACUCUACUGUAACUGGCAACCUUGAAUAAUGCAGCAAAUUCAUAUUCCAAAAUUGUGAACUUUAAAAUUUUGUGUUUGUGUCUAUGAUGAAAAGCAUUAUAUAAACAUUUGAUACUACAAUUUUAUUAGUAAGGAAGGCUGAAAAAGUAUCUCUCUUUUGACUCUGAGGUCAAUAAUGAUAAUGGCUUUUCCCCUACACUGGGAUAGAAAUGUUCUGUCAAGGAUAUGAAAACACUUUAUGAAAAUGAAAUUCAUUAAAGCCCUUAAUAAUCAGGUAGGGAAGGCAGGUGCUCACAAUUGUCACCUGUUGGUGAGUGAACACCUUAGGCUCGGGGAGGACAAUGACUCAAGAACAAGGUCGAAUUGCAGGUGGGGGGUGAAGCUGAUCCCUAACAGUGUCCUCCAGCCCCUGGCACUGAGGAAGGACAUGGAGGGCUUGCAUCGACUUUUCCUGGCAGGCUUGUGAUUCCCAGCCAGAAUGCAGGUGGCAAUGUUGUGAUUCCUGGCGUAACCUUCAAUGCUUCAAUGAUAAUCUCUGCUGGUGCCAGGCACCAGCUGAGUGUCACUGUGCAGCUCCCAGGCUUAAGUGAUGCAUGCCGAGGUUUUCAGAGCAGUCUCUCAUUUAUUAGUUGUGUUGGAAAGAAAUCUGUACUACCUAACUGGGUACCUCUGGAUUUUAACAGCUGUGGUUUAUAAGAGAUAUGAGAGGGGGUUUGUUUUCAAAGUGCCUUUCACAAAGUAACACCUUAGACUGUAGUUUACAUUCCAUUCCAGUAGGAUAACUUGCAACACUUCUGUGCUCAGAAAUCCAACUGUGCAAGAAAAGUCAGGUUAUAUUUUCAUACAGCCCGUUCUGGCAAAUAUGCCUUCACACCACUUUCCCUCCUCCUCACCGCUAUUGGCAAUAGUCCCAAUGGAAGAGUUUUAUGUCAAAUGCUGAGUAUCUUGGAAGCUGUCCUGCACAGACACGACUGCUUGGCUGCGUGUUGGAGAGUCGCGGUUGGACUGGGAGACCAGGAAGGUCCCUUCUGGUCUGAGAUGUGAUGACUCUAGAACUAAUUAGUUUCAACUCAUAACACGAAAUGAUACUAGCUACCAUUUGGUGGGCUUUUUCUGUGUUCCAGGCUCUGUGCUAAGAUCUUAGCAUUACUCUAAUUACAAAAUCCCUGCCAAUAUUAUCCUCAGUUUACGCAAGAACAAAUGGGUUUAGGGAAAUCAAAAACUUGUCCAAUGACACAGAUUUAAGAUUUAGCAACUGAUGGCCACGUGGAAAUGGAUUACAGAUUAUUCUAAUUGGACACUCUAAACGUGCAAUUUAACCAGAAUGAAAUUUAGGGCUGCGUGCUGUGGCUCAUGCCUGUAAUCCUAGCACUUUGGGAAGCCAGGUGUAUCCCUUAAGCCCAGGAGUUUGAGAGCAACUUGGGCAACAUGGUGAAACCUGUAUCUACAAAAAAUACAAAAAUUAGCCAGGUGAGGUGGUGUAUGCCUGUAGUUCCAGCUACUUGGGAGGCUGAGAGAUGGGAGGAUUGGUUGAGCCUAGGAGGUCGAGGCUGCUGUGAGCUGUGAUGGUUCCACUGCACUCCAGCCUGGGCGACAGAGACAGACUCCAUCUCAAAAAAAAAAAAAAAAAAAGUAGCUACCUUGUGGUUGCACUCGUCUGAGACUAGCUCAUGGCUCCAGCUCUCAGGGUGGUGAGUAAUGAUUCUGUGGUCAGACGCAGUUUUGAAGUCAGGCAAGAAAACCUUCAACAAGAGUUAGAGAUGUCCUGUCUAUGAAUUUCUCCUCUAGGCUUAGGGAUAGCCCUGGGAUUCAUGUCAUGCCAGUUAGGGAUCCACUCAUUGUAAGCAAUACAAGUGCCCCCGAAGAGACAGUGCAUUAAUUGUCACCCCUUAGGAGCAUUGUGUGAAUUAGUGUGAUUUAGCACAUGCCCAGAGGGAUGAAACUCUAGCUCCAUAGGGUAGGUCCUGAUUACUCCUGGAGCAGGCAGCCAGCUCAGCUCAUGGGGAGCUCUGAGAAGUCUCUCAAUGCCUCGCAUGCAGCCCCUGCUCAGGAGUCAUGUGUCACUUCACAGUCUUGCUUUCCAGUGGGUCAAAGCAUGAUGUUUAUGAGAAACAAAUACACAAAAUUCUGACUUGUGUGAAUACAGAACACGUGCAAUAAAACGACUGCAAUCUAUUUUUAAAAUGUGGUCUGAGAAGUCAGGUUUAAUAUGACUAUGUAAUAUAUAAACAAUAUAUUUUCCACAGAAAGGAAAAUAUAAAUAAUAAAAUAUGUCUAUUUCUUUUUUUUGGUGGAAAAUUACUCCCACAAUUUGGUCCCAAGGGGGUCUUAAUUUGUCAUCAGGUCUGUGGCUAAAUGUCUUAUAAAGGAAUGCUUCUUUCUUUCGAGAAGUGUACAGGAACAGUCUGCACUGACUGCUUUUACCUGUAAAUGUUUUGAGAAUUCAGAAGUCACUUUCCUUCCACAAUAGGUGCUAGGCAUUUUAUUUAAAUAAAGCAAAAACAUUUCUGUCAUAAAGAAGGUGUUAAUAACCUCAAAGCUAUGCGAAAUAUACUAGUACAAUCUAAUACUCAUGGUGAAAAAUACAGUAAUUAAGAGCAAUUCAAGUUUUUUUGUUUUGGUUUAACUUCAGAAUUAAAAUAAACUCAGAAUUAAAAAAAUAAAAAAUGGUUUUAUUACAUGUCAGAGUAUUGAGAUACAAAAUAUAUACCAGAU
rnacentral:lncRNA from 1 species